UCCAACCACCUCUCCUCCCCCUCCCCCCGUCGUGGAGUCGUGAGGGUUUCGAAGGAACCCUAAAGGUCAUCUAGUCCAACCCCGAACUCGAGGCAGGGUUUCUCAUCUCCUCUUCUUCUAGAUCUUCCUGGUGAUAUUUUUGCUCUUCUCUGCUGGGUCACAAGUCCUGGAUGGGGUGAAGGAUGCCAGGAAGAUAUUCCGAGAAGUGGAAGGAUCGGUUUUGAGGAGGAAAAAAAGCUUGAGAUGCGUAGGGCCAGAAAAUCAGAGCAACCCUGGACCCUCCUCCUCCAGGAAAUCCGCCCCUUGCCCCAAAGGAAACUACCGCGUGGACAGGGACAACUGUGACGAGUGCAAAUCUUGCACAGCUGCUAACACAAUUGUGGUGCGGGAGUGCCGAGACAAUCAGGACACUGAGUGUGGUUGCGCCGAGGGCUAUUUCAACCAAGCGGACGUUCCCCGUUUAUUUAGGUGCAUGAAAUGCACCAACUGCAGCACCCAGAACAGG